GUGAGGAAUAUUGGACAAUGGAUGCAAGUCUGACCCAGCCAUCCCGCGUGCCGGAAGAAGGCCCUCAGGGUUGUAAACGGCUUUUGACGGUGAAGAAUCGACAGGAUGCGUCCUGUUUUGACGGUAGCCGUUGAAUAAGCACCGGCUAACUCCGUGCCAGCAGCCGCGGUAAUACGGAGGGUGCGAGCGUUGUCCGGAUUUAUUGGGUUUAAAGGGUGCGUAGGCUGGAAGGUCAGUCAGCGGUGAAAAGCUGUCGCUUAACGAUAGUCUUGCCGCAGAUACUUCCUUUCUUGGAUGAGGAGGAGGCCACUGGAACGGAUGGUGUAGCGGUGAAAUGCAUAGAUAUCAUCCAGAACACCGAUUGCGAAGGCAGGUGGCUGUACCUUAAUCGACGCUGAUGCACGAAAGCAUGGGGAGCAAACAGGAUUAGAAACCCGGGUAGUCC
rnacentral:rRNA from 1 species